rnacentral:rRNA from 1 species
GAUGAACGCUAGCUACAGGCUUAACACAUGCAAGUCGAGGGGAAACGGCAUCGAAAGCUUGCUUUUGAUGGGCGUCGACCGGCGCACGGGUGAGUAACGCGUAUCCAACCUGCCCAUCACUUGGGAAUAACCUUGCGAAAGUAAGACUAAUGCCCAAUGACAUCCCACGAAGGCAUCCGAAUGGGAUUAAAGAUUUAUCGGUGAUGGAUGGGGAUGCGUCUGAUUAGCUUGUUGGCGGGGUGACGGCCCACCAAGGCAACGAUCAGUAGGGGUUCUGAGAGGAAGGUCCCCCACAUUGGAACUGAGGCACGGUCCAAACUCCUACGGGAGGCAGCAGUGAGGAAGAUUGGUCAAUGGGCGAGAGCCUGAACCAGCCAAGUAGCGUGCAGGAUGACGGCCCUAUGGGUUGUAAACUGCUUUUAUAAGGGAAUAAAGUGGGUCACGUGUGACUUUUUGCAUGUACCUUAUGAAUAAGGACCGGCUAAUUCCGUG